AAUGUUGGACCUGACAUUAAAAAGCCAUUUCUGUGUCCUUGCCUUAAUAUUAUUUAAUAUCGACAAUAACAAGAGAUUGAGAGUCUGGAAGAUGUAGACUAAAAAAAGAGAAAUGUCAGGGUGAUUACAAUGUUUGUAUGAAGUUUGUUUUGAAUUAGAUAAUGACAUAUCAUGGACAUUUUGAAAUAUGAAAUGAUGGAAGGCUCCUAGAAUAUUUGUCUUCAUAACAUGCCAGUUGAUGAGAAGACAUUUGGAGGUUUAAUAUUUUAAUGGAACCCAUAUGACCUAAUACUAUAUGAUAUUCUCACCAAAGUUUAGGAAUAUCCAACACUAGAUGGUGAACAAGUAGCAGAUGGAUGAUUGAUAAUUUAUAAAUAAGCUAUGUUGUUAUUUAAAUUUUAAUUUCUAUAAAAAUAGCACCAAAUAACCACAAAUUAAAGGGCAAACCCCAAAUCUUAAUCUAGAUUUAAAAAAAAUAAAUAGCUAGAAAUUUUCAUCCAAAGAUUAGCUAGAAAAAUACAGUGAUUCUCUGCUUAAUAAAGUUUCUAAAGUUGUGCUGAAAUCCUUUAAUCAGAGGGAAUUUAGUUAACUCCUCAGGCAUUGAAGAGACAGUGACUUCAGUACAGGCUGUACUGAAUAUGACAAAGCUGGGAGAAAAAAAAUCUGCAUUUUCAUGAAAUAAAUUAUGUGCUAACCAUGAAGACAUUCAAAUCAAUCUAAUGAUUACGUGAAUAGCAGGUAAGAUUUCCCUCAAAAUAGGCCAUUUGUACUUUUCUUUGGAUGGUUGCAAACGUAUUAUAAAGUAUGUAUAUGAAUGAUACUUACAUGUAAAUAUAUUUAUUAAGUAGAUAUGCUAUAGUCAUAUAUAUUCAUAAAGUAUAUAUAUUAUACACUUGAUAUAUAUGAUUAUAAUAUACAUUGUAUAUUAUAAUAUAUAGUCUAUACUAUAAUAUAUACUAUAGUAUAUAAUGUAUAAGAUAGUAUUAUAACUAUUGUAUAUAUUGUAGUCAUAUAUAGUAAGUGUGUGUAUAUACAUAGGAUACCUAAAAAUAUUUUAGUAUUUAUUUUACUCAACAUUGGAAGCAUUCACUUGGGAGGAUUCUGAAGCAAGUAGGCUGUGAAGGCCCCUGCCUGUACAUUUUGCCUGUGUACCUGCGGUGCUGGCUACGUCCACAGCGGUGUCUUGCAGCUGUGGCGCUGAAUGGCAUCCCCAGGGUUGAGGACUGCAUAAGCUUAUUUUGUACAGCAAGCCUGGCGUCUGACCUCUGAGCGCGAGCUUGAGCGCCAGGGCCCUUUUCAGCUUCACUCGCCCUGCGCAGUGACCAGAGCGGUGAGCUUCCUUCCCCAGCGCCUGUCCUCAGGCCCUGGUUCCCUAACAUUUUCCAAAUCUGCGCAGUCCUGUUUUACCAGCGGUGUACUCCUGCAAAUAUAUCACUUGUACAAUAUUGGUCUUUUCCUAGUGGUACAGCAGAUGCGUCUUUAUCUGGUGAUAGUUUACACCCAAGGGGCUAAAAUUUACCCUUUUUCAUCUAGAACUUUGUAUCAGAUUGACAUUUUCUGUUAUUUCAGUCAUAACAGUCUUUUCCCACUUAGCCACUUAACAUACUUGCCUUUCUUUUAGCCCUAAAAUCUAUAGUCAUGUUUGAAAAAUUUGGUCUCAUUACCUUCAUAUAAAUCAUGUCCUUCUGUGGAACUCACCACACCUUAUCGUAUUUCAUUCUGCUUCAUUGCAUUUGGAACUUGCUAUUUAUGUUUAUUUGUCUAUUUUACUUUUCCUCUAUUAACUUGUAAACUCCAGGAGCUCACAGAUUAAGACGUAUGGCUUCAUUAUACCCACGGUCUGUAACAGUGCUUGCCAUGCUGGAGCAGUAUGUAUUCAACAGUUAUUUUUUAGAUAAAGUAAUAGUAGUUAUCAAAAAAAAUUGUCAGAUAAAGGAAGGAACGAGUAAAUUCUUGGAGGCAGCAGGAAAACAUCCAUCUUAAGUUUCUAUGAGAGACUGCUUUUUGUUGGUUACCAAAAUUUCAAAAUUGUGUGGCUAUAAGCAAAAUAUUUAAACUUAAAUAGAAGUAUUCUGUGCAUUGAUUUAAUUAAUUCCACUUUCUACCUUAUUGGUUUCAGAAAAAAAAGAAUAACCUUACCUUGAUAUUUUGUAGCCAUUUCAUCCAUUUAUGGAAUAGUAUAACUGAUUUUUUCCAUAUGAAUUUAUGCUUCUGAUAGCAAAUGCUUGCCAAAUUGAAAAGAUUUAUUUUCACUGUAUGACCUGACAACAGAUUUAUGUAAAAUAUUGAGUCAAAAAUAAUAAUUUUAAAUUCUGUUUUAACCACUUAAAAGAAAGCAUCAAUUUUAAUAUUGUAUUGUAAACUUCUAUAAAAACUGAAUUAAAUUUGUAGUUGUUAAGUAAAUACAAUUUAAAUAACUGAAAAGCUACUGUUCCAUAUGAGGAAACUUUCUAAAGAAUAUGGAUGGGGCACAUUAAUUUUUACUAAAUCAUACCUUUCAUUAUAAAAUUUUAAAGCAUAGACAAAAGACAAUGAAAAAUCAUGUUAUUUUCCUGGGAAAAUGACAAAUGAUUUACCAACUCCAAUGUGUAUAUUAUAUUUUGGUUUAUAAGCUUUACAUAUGACACUGUGAGUAAAUUAACAUCUUGUUUUUAAGAUUUGCUACUAGUAUGUCUAAUUAUAGAUGUGUUUAGACCAUAUACAAAACUGUUUCCUGCCAUUUUAAUGACAGAAUAUGCCACUUAGGAAAGACACACCUGCCUGAUAUGAAAUACUAUUUCUAAAUUAUACAGACUAUUUCUAUUAAUACUAUUUAUUAAAACGUUUUACCAAUUUUAAAGAGCCAUUCUAUUACAUCAUUAUCCAGAAUUUUAAAAUUUUUGAGUUAUUGAGUCAUAUUACUCAAAGAAUAACAACAACUUUGUAACAUUCACUUACCCAUAUUUUAAAUAUUUAAUAAAGUUAAACACAUUUCCAGCAGGAAGGCAACAUAGCAUCUUACAGUCCUUUGUACUGUGUAUCACCAGGAUUCUUAAAAACUGAAUGAUUACAUGCAAUCCACACCCAAAGUAUUUUUUUUCAAAUUAAAAAAAAAAUGGUUGAGCAGUUUUUACACUGCCUGAAGUGCACUGUGUGUUGUUUUUAUGAAACAUUGUUAUUACAUAAUUUUAAAAUUAUUUACCAUAACAAAUAUGAACUGUUGCUUUAACUAACAGGUGAAUGUCUGCCUGAUUAUCAAAUUCUUACCUUGUAAUCUUUUUUCCUUUGGAACUCUAGAUAUUGUAUGCUAUAGUCUAUUGAAUGGGAGUGUUCUGGAGGAUAUUACUGAAGAAAACUUAAUUUUCCUUAGCAAAUCUAUAGCUGUAUAUUUUUUUCAAUAGUUUCAAAUUUAAAUGCUUUGCCCCAUUAUGUGUAAAUGUUUGUAUUUUUUCAUUUAUUUUGCCUAAUAGUCAGUGAACUUUUGUGAUCCGCAAACACAGGACUUUAUUCAAUUUCAUACAGGUUUAUUUUAAUAUUAUAUCUUUCAUUAUUAGCACCGCUACAGUUGUUCUGGUCUUUUGUUCAGAAAACCCAUUAUCCAUAGGUUGAGCUAAUUUGUUCACUUAUUUAUUCAGCAGAGAGCAGAAUGUAGUUUAUCCAUUAUGAAUGAUGCUAAUAUGGUUCUUACAUCGGUUCAUAUUUUGGUCUUUAAUUUUUAGUUUUUAUAUUUUCAAGUUUGUGGUCAUUUGAUACAACAGCCAAAGGAAUCUAGUAUGGACAUUAGUAUUCAUCUGCAUGCAGAACCCCAGGAUGCAAGCAGAGCUUUGAAGAGGCUUGGUAGGGAACUGCCUGUGUGUUAACAAAACUCACUGCUAAGAAAAAAAUUAAAGGAAACCAUGGGCUAUUAAGUGGGUUAUAUUUGUACUCCGCAUGAAUUAUACUCAGAAAUAUACAUUAUUUAGGAAGAGCUUAUAUUCCCCCAAUACGGCAUCAUUUAGUAAGUGGACUUGAAAGUCCAAAUGGUUCCUCCUCCAUUUUUUAUCGUCACUGCCUAUGAACUUCAAGGAGGAAAUAUGUCAUGGUCCUUGUGGCCCUUAUGAAUAUGCAGAUGCUUUUUCCCCCCUUUGCUUAAUAUUCCAUCCUAAAAAAAAUUAAGGAUGAAGCCACAUUUGUAUUUAUGAUUUAAAAUUGAGACACAAAUCUGUUGAGACACAAAACUAAAUGUUUCUAGAUUCUCAUCUUGUGUCUUCUUCUAAGAACACAAAUCUCAUCAUGAGGGCACACCUGUGUGACCUAAUCUUAACUGAAUUACUUCCCGAAGGUCCCCCUCCAAGUACCACCACACUCUUGUCAGGGCUUCAACAUGUGACUUUCGGGGAGCCACACACAUUUAGUCUGUAACAAGUCUGCUAAUUCUCAGUGUCCCCAAGAUACCUGCCAUAUUUCCAGGUAUCAGAUGCAGAUAUGAUAAUGCCAAGCAAAAAAGGGGUUUUUCUAUUCAAGCACCUCUUUUUUAAAAACAUCAUACUUCCUCCUGUUGGCCAGUAUUUUGUCCCGUCUUACUCUCUCAAAUUUCAACCAAUCGAUGGAAAGGAAAUGAAAUUACCAUGAUGUAUUAGCCCCAGGCAGUUAAGAAUCAUUGCCUGGGGAGUUCCCAUUGUGGCUCAGCAGUUUACCAACGGGACUGGAAUCUGGGAGGAUGUCCUUCUGAUCCCUGGCCUCGUUCAGUGGGUGAAGGAUCUGGCGUUGCCACGAUCCGUGGUGUAGGUCACAGAGGUGGCUUGGAUCCUCUAUUGCUGUGGCUAUGGCAUAGGCCGGCAUCUGUAGCUUCGAUUCAACCC
rnacentral:lncRNA from 1 species